rnacentral:tRNA from 1 species
GCCUUCGUGGUGUAAUGAUCAGCACACUCGACGCUUAACCGAGAGGUCCGUGGUUCGAUUCCCUGCGAAGGCG